GGGGCGGUGGCGGAACAGGCAGACGCCGCGGACUUAAAAUCCGCUAUCCUUCGGGAUGUGAGGGUUCGAUUCCCUCCCGCCCCA
rnacentral:tRNA from 1 species